UUCCAUGAACAAGUGUCUGAAUUGCAUGUAAUUUUGUUUUAAGGAGUAUCCGUUCCUUAGAUAAAAUAUAAAUUUAAAAUGCAAAAAAAUAAUGUUGGGUUUUCUUAGCAUGUUCUUUAUGUUCAUCUAUUUCCUAAUUUUUCUAUUUUUCCUUCUUAUUUGUCACAAGACCCUGCAUUUGUUUUCUUUUUAUAAUUUUAAUGUGACUUAAUACAACAAAAUUACUCAACCCAUCUUUCUCUCCUCCCUGCCCCUACUUUUAUCUGCUGGUGAGCAAUUCAGCAGUUGGAUCUGUUGUAUUUCAUCACAGCAGCGAGACAAAUUACCUCAUCUGAAAGCCUGCUGUUGUCAGACUUCUUGUCAUGAUGGUCAUUGUGCCAUCAAGCAUUCUUCUUCAAAGCCAUUAAAAGACAAUUACAUUGUAUAGCAGGUAUGACAUGAGAAAAGGUGAGAUUAGAUGAAUCAGGACUUGAAACUUGAUUUUUGAUAAUAGUUGUCUUUAAAGCUUAUGUAUAAACAUGAUUGUUAUGCUUUAAUUGUUGUUGCUUUGGUUGGAAUUUUCACCUGAAAUUAGUGGAGGUUAAUCAUGAAACUGCUUCCCCCCAUUAACAAACUUCAUAUCAUAAAAUAACUUGCGAUGCUGCCAAUAGUGGCAAGUGAUCUGUGAACAUAGAAUAAGCUAUCUUGUUUUGUAAUUUUUGGAAAUUGAAGAAAAAGUGGACUUGUUUCUUUACAAUAAUGUUCUUAGUGUCAUCUCUGUAUUAUAUUUGGUCUUUAGUUGCAAAAUAAUCUAGAGGAUCAUCUUCACUGCAAGUAUGUCAUGUACAUUAGCGAGAAUAUAGGUGUAAUCUAUGUUUUGCUGUAAACGGGAGCAUCUGAAUUCAUAAUAACCGUAGACUUUCUUGCUUGCUAGAAUGGUUAAAAUAUGACUUGUUUAUUCUCAUUUUGAGCAAAAUAAAGGUUCCGUGUCAAGAAUAUAAUUGUCAUCUUUUGCAUAUUCAAAGGUUCUGUUGGUCAAUUCUGCCUUCGAAGCCAGCGCAGAGGACCUCGAAGCCAGCUCCUCCUCGCCCUCCCCUUCCUGCCUUCGCUUUCGGCGGCGACGACGACGAGGAUGACAUCGAGAGGGAAAUCUCACGGCAGGCGUCCAAUAACAAGUCUCUCCGGAAGAUCGAGGAGCAGCACAAAAAGGCAAUGGAAGAGGAUCCCUCGUUCUUCGACUACGACGGGGUUUACGACGAGAUGAAGGGGAAGAUUGCGCGCCCCAAGGUUCAGGAUCGAACGGAGAGAAAGUCAAAGUAUAUAUAAACACUUAUGGAGAAAGCAAAACAACGUGAGCGGGAACAUGAAAUUGUAUAUGAGAGGAAGCUGCUGAAAGAGAGGAGCAAGGAUGAUAACCUUUUUGCAGAUAAGGAAAAGUUUGUAACCAGUGCCUAUAAGAAAAAGCUAGCAGAACAUGAAAAAUGGUUGGACGAAGAGA